rnacentral:rRNA from 1 species
AUGAACGCUGGCGGCGUGCCUAAUACCUGCAAGUCGAGCGAACGGACGAGAAGCUUGCUUCUCUGAUGUUAGCGGCGGACGGGUGAGUAACACGUGGAUAACCUACCUAUAAGACUGGGAUAACUUCGGGAAACCGGAGCUAAUACCGGAUAAUAUUUUGAACCGCAUGGUUCAAAAGUGAAAGACGGUCCUGCUGUCACUUAUAGAUGGAUCCGCGCUGCAUUAGCUAGUUGGUAAGGUAACGGCUUACCAAGGCAACGAUGCAUAGCCGACCUGAGAGGGUGAUCGGCCACACUGGAACUGAGACACGGUCCAGACUCCUACGGGAGGCAGCAGUAGGGAAUCUUCCGCAAUGGGCGAAAGCCUGACGGAGCAACGCCGCGUGAGUGAUGAAGGUCUUCGGAUCGUAAAACUCUGUUAUUAGGGAAGAACAUAUGUGUAAGUAACUGUGCACAUCUUGACGGUACCUAAUCAGAAAGCCACGGCUAACUACGUG